rnacentral:lncRNA from 1 species
UGAACUCCUCUACCUUAAAACACCGACAAUAGCUAAUUUAACUGAAUAACUCAAUACCAAUAAACUAAUGUAAUAUUUUUUUCUAUUCAAUUUAUUAGUAAAACCGUUAUUUCACACCCCUGCUUAAGGAUUACUUGAGGAAUGCCCAUGUCGCUGUUAGGUGGCAUCACAAUGGCGGCUCCGACAUCUGAAGACAGCGGCCAGAGCUUUAGCAAGUCAGCGAAAUGCGUCUAAAUUAAAUAACUUUACCAUACAUAAAAAGUUGAAAUUAAAACAAAGCUGAAUUCGUGAAAUAGCCACAAGUUUAGGAAGCCAUCAAUAUAUUUAGCCACAACUUUGUCUGAAAGAAGCCUUCCCAAGUCAAAUGCCGGAACCCGCCUUUACCGAUAAUGCUGAACAAUACCGAUCAUUGUGCGAGCCAUUGGUUGAUAAGCACAGAAGCCAUGGUCAUAAGCAGUAUAAAAUUUUUAGUACGUUUUUGUCGUUAAACAAACCAGUAAACAACGAUAACCAUCUAAAGCAACAGGUAGAAUGACAUUCAUAUACCAACAGGUAGAAUGACAUUCAUAUACCAACAGACAACACAACGAUAUAAGCAUCAAAUUAACAGUUCCAAUGUCCACUACAUCCUACAAGUUUUACUUGAUCAAACAUGACUGAGAAGCUGAAAUUGUUCCUAAAUCAAGAUACAAGACUACUAAUAUCAAACCAGAUAACAGCGAAGAGACACUAACACCAACUGUCAUUUAAGUCAAGAGACAACAAAGUUAAAGCAGGAACAUUUCACUCCUUGGUGGUUUUGUUUAUGAGUGAUUUGUGAAU